GUGGGGAAUCUUAGACAAUGGGGGAAACCCUGAUCUAGCCAUGCCGCGUGAGCGAUGAAGGCCUUAGGGUUGUAAAGCUCUUUCAGCUGGGAAGAUAAUGACGGUACCAGCAGAAGAAGCCCCGGCUAACUCCGUGCCAGCAGCCGCGGUAAUACGGAGGGGGCUAGCGUUGUUCGGAAUUACUGGGCGUAAAGCGCACGUAGGCGGAUCAGAAAGUCAGAGGUGAAAUCCCAGGGCUCAACCUUGGAACUGCCUUUGAAACUCCUGAUCUUGAGGUCGAGAGAGGUGAGUGGAAUUCCGAGUGUAGAGGUGAAAUUCGUAGAUAUUCGGAGGAACACCAGUGGCGAAGGCGGCUCACUGGCUCGAUACUGACGCUGAGGUGCGAAAGCGUGGGGAGCAAACAGGAUUAGAAACCCCAGUAGUCC
rnacentral:rRNA from 1 species